UACGGAGGGUGCAAGCGUUAAUCGGAAUUACUGGGCGUAAAGCGCACGUAGGUGGUUUGUUAAGCUAGAUGUGAAAGCCCCGGGCUCAACCUGGGAAUUGCAUUUAGAACUGGCAAGCUAGAGUAGGGUAGAGGGGUGUGGAAUUCCAGGUGUAGCGGUGAAAUGCGUAGAUAUCUGGAGGAACAUCAGUGGCGAAGGCGGCCUCCUGGACUAACACUGACGCUGAGGUACGAAAGCGUGGGGAUCAAACAGG
rnacentral:rRNA from 1 species